AUGCAUCUUCGAAAAUGGUUUUACUGCUCAAGAGAUAGCGAACUUAUUCGGAGUAAGCAAGAUAACCAUCGGACUGAGGAUGUGAGGGUUUCUGAUCUGUAUUCAACCACAAGUGAUGCAGAAGUUGACAGCACCAUUGAGGAAAUACCGAGAGUGUAUCCCAACACAGGAUACAGAAUAAUUCAUGGCCAUCUUCAAGCAAGAGGUCUCCAUAUUCAGACUUUUCACCUCUGAUUUACAGCAGUUGGAAACCAUUCAAGGUUUUUAGAACAGCUGUGACAAAGAAACUAUUCUGUUUACCUGCUACCCAGCUGCUUUAUUGCCCCAUGGGAUAUGAGGUGAGCCUGGAAUGAAACUGAUGUUUAUGAGGCAUGCUUUGUUGUAGCUGUGUGCAUACGUGGCUAGGAAUCCUGGUUACAGUAAGGUUAACUUUACACACAAAUGGAAAGCUCAGCUUUUUUUUUUUUUUUUUUGGUAUUGGUCUCAUACAGACCCUUGAGACACUUUCAGCUAGAAUAUAUGCAUUUAUUUAUUUAUUUACAAAGUUACCAUAAAGGAUUAUAUUUCAGAUGUGAUUUAACAUGCUCAGGAUAUCAGUACUCCACAAAGAAAUUGCCCAAAUAAUCUGCCUUACCAAAACGCAAAUAAACAAACAGGAGUAUCACUGACA
ensembl:lncRNA